rnacentral:lncRNA from 1 species
AAGGAGGAGCCACUGCUAGUGGGUACGAGGUUUCUUCUUGGUACAAGGACUUCUACGUUCUGUCCUCCUGCAGCCAUCUAAAAUCAGCCAGAAAGGUUUAGGAUCCCAUUUCCUGUUCUUGCAUCGGCUGUCCAAGCUGCUGUUCCUCUCUCCGCAGUAAGAGGGUGUUUCUCUCCCUGUUCAAGAGGAGCACCAACACUUGAGGACAGUAUCAUCCCUAGACCUUGGCAAGAGAGACCACUGAGUGAGGCAUCCAUGGAACCCAAGGAAGAGGCCUACGAAGAACCUGCAGUCACCUUCUAGACCAUUCUCCCUCACCAAACUGUCCCCUCCAGAGAGCUGAGGACUGGAUCUUCCCAUGCUGACACCUCCAGUGGGAAAGAAAAUUCUAGAUUCAGCUCUGGGUGUCCAAGUCAUUAUGAAGGCAUAUUUGUCAAGGUGGAAGAAAAGGACAUAUUCUAUUUAGCAGUUUGCAAUGUCCAGCCACCUACUGAUCGUAUGUGAUGGGGGGUGAGGAGGAG